CCGAAGACCUUCAUCCCUCACGCGGSGUCGCAUAGUCAGACUUUCGUCCAUUGCUAAAGAUUCUCGACUGCAGCCUCCCGUAGGAGUCUGGGCAGUGUCUCAGUCCCAGUGUGGCUGACCAUCCUCUCAGACCAGCUACUCGUCAAAAGCCUUGGUAGGCCAUUACCCUACCAACUAGCUGAUAAGACGCGGGCUCAUCCCUAAGCGAUAGGCCUUGCGGUCCCCAUCAUUUAAUUAAAAUGACAUGCGCCAUUUUAAUACCAUCAGGAAUUACCUCCGUUUUCACGAAGCUAUUCCUGUCUUAAGGGCAGAUUACCCACGUGUUCCUCACCCGUCUGCCGCUCUGCCGAUAAAAAACAUCGGCAUCGCUCGACUUGCAUGCCUAAUCCACGCCGCCAGCGUUCACUCUGAGCCAUGAUCAAACUCUAAUCACUAGUGAAUUCGCGGCCGCCUGCAGGUCGACCAUAUGGGAGAGCUCCCAACGCGUUGGAUGCAUAGCUUGAGUAUUCUAUAGUGUCACCUAAAUAGCUUGGCGUAUCAUG
rnacentral:rRNA from 1 species